CAGAGCUCAGGAUUCCUGGUUCGUGGGCGGCCCUUUGGCGGGGAGGGGGGAGGGUCCUCUGGAGAAGGAUGUCCCACCCCCGCAGCCCGAGCCCUCUCCAAAGAUGCAAGACUGCUCAGCUCUUCCCAGCAGUGCCAGAGGGGCGUGACUGGUGUGCACCUGUCGUCCUUACCUGGCUGCUGAUGCCGGUCGCGAUGUCCCCCACCUUGACCCGGUGAAACUCCCGGAUGUGCAGGUGUUCACCAUUGAGAGACUGUAUCUGGAUUUUCACACCUAGAAGGCAAGUAAGGUGACCGUCAGGAGAGUGGCUGCUGGCUCCCUGUAAGAAGCCCCACGUGGAGGGACGCAGGAUGGCCGUGAGGAAGCCGAUGUGACAUUUAGGCUGGAGUGGCCCUACUGUUCUAUGUUGGCUAGUUCUUCCUGGCCAUUUUCUGUCAGCAUCUAGAAUUUUGGCCUGCAUGAUGCAGAGAACUAAGGUUGGCUCUUAUGGGGAAGGAGUAACCCAACCUGCAGACAAAGCAAAAAGGAAGUGGAGACAGAGACUCAGAUUGUGGGCAACUGAGGCUGUAACGUCCCCAGAGUUGGAACAGCCGUUGGUCAGGCCUCAGGGGCUUGAGGCCAUGUGUCUGCACUGGCCCUGGGAAGAGUGUGAGCUGAUGUAACCUUUGUUCUAUCAAUAUCACAAGGUAACCUAUGCAGCCACACUUGAAAACAAAGAGGUCCAUAUAUGUUUU